rnacentral:rRNA from 1 species
GAUCCUGGCUCAGGACGAACGCUGGCGGCGCGCCUAACACAUGCAAGUCGAACGGAGGCUAUGUUGAAAGCUUGCUGGAUAGAUAGCUCAGUGGCGGACGGGUGAGUAACACGUGAGUAACCUGCCUUUCAGAGUGGAAUAACGUUUGGAAACGGACGCUAAUACCGCAUGACAUGGCGAGGAGGCAUUCUCCUUGCCAUCAAAGAUUUAUCGCUGAAAGAUGGGCUCGCGG